AAAACUUCUAUUUUUAUAUUUCUAGCUUAAUCUAUCCGCUCUCCUUCCGCUUUUACAAAUUGCAUUUUAAAAAGCUUCCUUCACAGAGUCAAUAACAACUGGAAAUGUUAUUUGUAAACACUAGGUAGUUUACUGUUAUGCCACCAGAGCAGCGCUGCUUGUUGUAAGUUGUAACUUCUUCAGAAACAUAAAGUUGAAGUUCGUGAACUGCGAAACUGAAAAUGUGUUGUGUUAGGGUGUCCUGCGAUUUGUCUUUUAUUUUCUUCACAGUGUAUUGGUAGGUUGUGUAACAUAUAAUUGCAGAAAUGGGCAAACGAAUUCUCCAGGGACAAGUGGAAUAGCAUUGCACAGACAGGACCCAGUACUUAUGAAGAUCGCAUUUGUUCGAGGGAAUGCUCUUUGUCAAGUAGAAAUGAGAAAGAGAAAGGCCGAAUAUUGAGCGCCGGAAUAGCAACGAAGACCUUUGCUUUGGAAUCUUCCCGCAGGGAAAAGGAAGUGAACAACAACAACGCAAAACAUGAACGUCAGUCAUGACUGUUCGUCACGUGCGGGUCAGGCUGUUAUACUAAACACACUUCUACCUCACACUCACACUUAUCAGGUGUCUUGGAUGGGUUUAUAUUUUGUGCUUUCGUCAAUAACGGACAAACCCCUUCCUGCUUGUUCCUGGAGCUGCUGAGUCACCCGCUGCUGGAUCUUUGCCAAGAGAGAGAGAGA